CUUAAAUACGCGACGGGGU
rnacentral:snRNA from 1 species